rnacentral:rRNA from 1 species
GAUGAACGCUAGCGGCAGGCUUAAUACAUGCAAGUCGAACGGUAAGUGUUGUAGCAAUAUAACACCAAGAGUGACGUACGGGUGCGUAACACGUAUGCAACCUACCCUUUACAGGAGGAUAGCUCGGGGAAACUCGAAUUAACCCUCCAUAAUAUAAUUGGAUGGCAUAAUUUGUUUAUUAAAACUCAGGUGGUAAAGGAUGGGCAUGCGUCUGAUUAGUUAGUUGGCGGGGUAAUGGCCCACCAAGACGAUGAUCAGUAGGGGACCUGAGAGGGUGAUCCCCCACACUGGCACUGAGAUACGGGCCAGACUCCUACGGGAGGCAGCAGUAGGGAAUAUUGGUCAAUGGAUGCAAGUCUGAACCAGCCAUGCCGCGUGCAGGAAGAAGGCCUUCUGGGUUGUAAACUGCUUUUGCCAGGGGAUAAAAUGUCUGUGCGCAGAUAAUUGAAGGUACCUGGUGAAUAAGCCACGGCUAACUACGUGCCAGCAGCCGCGGUAAUAC